rnacentral:rRNA from 1 species
AAUGAACGCUGGCGGCAGGCCUAACACAUGCAAGUCGAGCGGACGAAGGGAGCUUGCUCCUCGCUGCCGCGGCCGACGGGCGGGUAAUUCAUAGGAAUCUGACUGGUAGAUGGGACUAACGUAAGGACACGGGCCCUGAUACAGCAUCCGUCCAGAUGUUGAAACUCAUGGAUCAUCGGACAUAGCGCUAUUUGAUGAGCCUAGGACGGAUUAGCUAGUUGGUGGGGUAAAGGCUUACCAAGGCGACGAUCCGUAACUGAUCUGAGAGGAUGAUCAGUCACACUGGAACUGAGACACGGUCCAGACUCCUACGGGAGGCAGCAGUAGGGAAUAUUGGACAAUGGGCGAAAGCCUGAUGCAGCCAUGCCGCGUGUGUGAUGAAGGUCUUCGGAUUGUAAAGCUCUGUAAUUAGGGAGGAAGGAAAGUAAGUUUAUACCUGGCCGUCUUGACGGUACCAACAGAAAAAGCAACGGCUAACUACGUG